rnacentral:lncRNA from 1 species
UUUUUAGAGCGGCGUUUGUUCUUCUAGGCAAGAGCAUCCUGUGUCUUCAACCGAAUCCUCCAAGCUCGCUCGUCUGCUGCAAGAGGCUCUCUCGAAGAUAUCCCAUCUGGAAAAGGAAGUAGCAGAGCUUAAAAAGGUGGCUAACAAAGAAAAGGGCGUGAUGGAGAUGCUCCAAGUUGCAGUGCCAGCAAUACAAGGAGACAUGAGGAACGUAAGGCCACUUGGCGUGUCUUUUGGUCAAUGCCUUGUAACGCACAUCUGUGUGUC